AGAGUUUGAUCAUGGCUCAGGAUGAACGCUAGCUACAGGCUUAACACAUGCAAGUCGAGGGGAAACGAUAUUGGAAGCUUGCUUCCGAUAGGCGUCGACCGGCGCACGGGUGAGUAACGCGUAUCCAACCUGCCCACCACUUGGGGAUAACCUUGCGAAAGUAAGACUAAUACCCAAUGAUAUCUCUAGAAGACAUCUGAAAGAGAUUAAAGAUUUAUCGGUGAUGGAUGGGGAUGCGUCUGAUUAGCUUGUUGGCGGGGUAACGGCCCACCAAGGCAACGAUCAGUAGGGGUUCUGAGAGGAAGGUCCCCCACAUUGGAACUGAGACACGGUCCAAACUCCUACGGGAGGCAGCAGUGAGGAAUAUUGGUCAAUGGACGAGAGUCUGAACCAGCCAAGUAGCGUGCAGGAAGACGGCCCUAUGGGUUGUAAACUGCUUUUAUAAGGGAAUAAAGUGAGAGUCGUGACUCUUUUUGCAUGUACCUUAUGAAUAAGGACCGGCUAAUUCCGUGCCAGCAGCCGCGGUAAUACGGAAGGUCCGGGCGUUAUCCGGAUUUAUUGGGUUUAAAGGGAGCGUAGGCCGGAGAUUAAGCGUGUUGUGAAAUGUAGACGCUCAACGUCUGCACUGCAGCGCGAACUGGUUUCCUUGAGUACGCACAAAGUGGGCGGAAUUCGUGGUGUAGCGGUGAAAUGCUUAGAUAUCACGAAGAACUCCGACUGCGAAGGCAGCUCACUGGAGCGCAACUGACGCUGAAGCUCGAAAGUGCGGGUAUCGAACAGGAUUAGAUACCCUGGUAGUCCGCACGGUAAACGAUGGAUGCCCGCUGUUGGUCUGAAUAGGUCAGCGGCCAAGCGAAAGCAUUAAGCAUCCCACCUGGGGAGUACGCCGGCAACGGUGAAACUCAAAGGAAUUGACGGGGGCCCGCACAAGCGGAGGAACAUGUGGUUUAAUUCGAUGAUACGCGAGGAACCUUACCCGGGCUUGGAUUGCAGAGGAAGGAUUUGGAGACAAUGACGCCCUUCGGGGCCUCUGUGAGGGUGCUGCAUGGUUGUCGUCAGCUCGUGCCGUGAGGUGUCGGCUUAAGUGCCAUAACGAGCGCAACCCCUCUCCUUAGUUGCCAUCAGGUUAAGCUGGGCACUCUGGGGACACUGCCACCGUAAGGUGUGAGGAAGGUGGGGAUGACGUCAAAUCAGCACGGCCCUUACGUCCGGGGCUACACGCGUGUUACAAUGGCAGGUACAGAGAGAC
rnacentral:rRNA from 1 species